GGUUUAAUUCGAUGAUACGCGAGGAACCUUACCCGGGCUUGAAUUGCAGAGGAAGAAUUUGGAGACAAUGACGCCCUUCGGGUCGUCUGUGAAGGUGCUGCAUGGUUGUCGUCAGCUCGUGCCGUGAGGUGUCGGCUUAAGUGCCAUAACGAGCGCAACCCCUCUCCUUAGUUGCCAUCAGGUCAAGCUGGGCACUCUGGGGACACUGCCACCGUAAGGUGUGA
rnacentral:rRNA from 1 species